CAGGCCUAACACAUGCAAGUCGGGCGGUAACAGAACUAGCUUGCUGGUUGCUGACGAGCGGCGGACGGGUGCGUAACACGUAGGAAUCUGCCCGGUAGUGGGGGAUAGCCCGGAGAAAUCCGGAUUAAUACCGCAUACGCCUUAAGAGGGAAAGCAGGGGACCCGUUUCUUUUAUAAGGAGCGAACCUUGCGCUAUCGGAUGAGCCUGCGUCGGAUUAGCUGGUUGGUGGGGUAAAGGCCUACCAAGGCGACGAUCCGUAGCUGAUCUGAGAGGAUGAUCAGCCACACUGGGACUGAGACACGGCCCAGACUCCUACGGGAGGCAGCAGUGGGGAAUAUUGCACAAUGGGCGCAAGCCUGAUGCAGCCAUGCUGCGUGUGUGAAGAAGGCCCUAGGGUUGUAAAGCACUUUCAGCGAGGAGGAAAGGGUGUAGGUUAAUACCCUGCAUCUGUGACGUUACUCGCAGAAGAAGCACCGGCUAACUCCGUGCCAGCAGCCGCGGUAAUACGGAGGGUGCGAGCGUUAAUCGGAAUUACUGGGCGUAAAGCGUGCGUAGGCGGCUUGUUAAGUUGGAUGUGAAAGCCCCGGGCUCAACCUGG
rnacentral:rRNA from 1 species